UACGUAGGGUGCGAGCGUUGUCCGGAAUUAUUGGGCGUAAAGAGCUCGUAGGCGGUCUGUCGCGUCGGCUGUGAAAACCCGGAGCUCAACUCCGGGCCUGCAGUCGAUACGGGCAGACUGGAGUUCGGCAGGGGAGACUGGAAUUCCUGGUGUAGCGGUGAAAUGCGCAGAUAUCAGGAGGAAUACCGAUGGCGAAGGCAGGUCUCUGGGCUGACACUGACGCUCAUGCACGAAAGCGUGGGGAGCAAACAGG
rnacentral:rRNA from 1 species